UACGGAGGGGGCAAGCGUUGUUCGGAAUUACUGGGCGUAAAGGGCGCGCAGGCGGCUGCUCAAGUCAGGCGUGAAAGGCCUGGGCUCAACCCGGGAAUUGCGCUUGAGACUGGGCUGGCUUGAGUGCGGGAGAGGAUGGUGGAAUUCCCAGUGUAGAGGUGAAAUUCGUAGAUACUGGGAAGAACACCGGUGGCGAAGGCGGCCAUCUGGACCGCAACUGACGCUGAGGCGCGAAAGCGUGGGGAGCAAACAGG
rnacentral:rRNA from 1 species